rnacentral:rRNA from 1 species
UGGGGAAUCUUGCGCAAUGAGCGACAGCUUGACGCAGCAACGCCGCGUGGGGGAAGACGGCCUUCGGGUUGUAAACCCCUUUCAGUUGGGACGAAGCUCGGCCUGUGAACAGCAGGCUGGAGUGACGGUACCUUCAAAAGAAGCCCCGGCUAACUACGUGCCAGCAGCCGCGGUAAUACGUAGGGGGCAAGCGUUGUCCGGAAUCAUUGGGCGUAAAGAGUGUGUAGGCGGCCUUAUAAGUCUGUUGUGAAAGUCCAAGGCUCAACCUUGGAAUGCCGAUGGAUACUGUAAGGCUAGAGUCCGGAAGAGGCGGGUGGAACUCCUGGUGUAGCGGUGAAAUGCGCAGAUAUCAGGAAGAACACCAACGGCGAAGGCAGCCCGCUGGGACGGUACUGACGCUGAGACACGAAAGCGUGGGGAGCAAACAGG